AUUGCAAUCAGAUGCAGGCUGAUUGACGCUGAUUGGUAGGCAGAUCAGAGACACCAGUGGAAGCAGGUGAGAACCAGGAGCAGACAGAGGAAGGGCGGAGACUCAGACCGACAGCAGUGGUACACAACAGCUCCUGCAGAGGGGGACAAAUAGACAAAACACUAGGAGGACAAACCACAAACAGAG